rnacentral:tRNA from 1 species
GGAAGUGUGCCCGAGUAGGGACUACAUUGAUAGCGUAGAACACGGGAGCCGAAACUCCCACUUCCC